GUUUCGGGGGAGCUCUGAAGCGGAGACUCAGUCUGAGGUUAAAGAGCUAUUGGUGUGAUUCUGACUGAGAGCUGCAGAUCGGUAAGACGUCCAGACCUCCUCCUCCAGGAACAGAAACCAGAGCUGAACUGCUGCAGGUAAGAAGCUGUUCCACACUUUAAAACUCACUGUUCUUUAUUCACUCUGAGACAAACAGCUGG
ensembl:lncRNA